UACGUAGGGUGCGAGCGUUGUCCGGAAUUAUUGGGCGUAAAGGGCUCGUAGGCGGCUUGGUAUGUCGGGUGUGAAAUCCCCGGGCUCAACCUGGGAACUGCACCCGAAACUGCCUUGCUAGAGUAUGGGAGAGGGAAGUGGAAUUUCCGGUGUAGCGGUGAAAUGCGUAGAUAUCGGAAGGAACAUCAGUGGCGAAGGCGGCUCUCUGGACCGGUACUGACGCUGAUCUGCGAAAGCCAGGGGAGCAAACGGG
rnacentral:rRNA from 1 species